rnacentral:rRNA from 1 species
GACGAACGCUGGCGGCGUGCUUAACACAUGCAAGUCGAGCGGAAAGGCCACUUCGGUGGUACUCGAGCGGCGAACGGGUGAGUAACACGUGAGUAAUCUGCCCCUCACUUUGGGAUAGCCACCGGAAACGGUGAUUAAUACCGGAUAUGACCAUAUGUCGCAUGGCGUGUGGUGGAAAGUUUUUCGGUGAGGGAUGUGCUCGCGGCCUAUCAGCUUGAUGGUGAGGUAAUGGCUCACCAUGGCUUCGACGGGUAGCCGGCCUGAGAGGGUGACCGGUCACACUGGGACUGAGACACGGCCCAGACUCCUACGGGAGGCAGCAGUGGGGAAUAUUGGACAAUGGGCGGAAGCCUGAUCCAGCAACGCCGCGUGAGGGAUGACGGCCUUCGGGUUGUAAACCUCUUUCAGUACCGACGAAGCGCAAGUGACGUUAGGUACAGAAGAAGCACCGGCCAACUACGUG